GACGAACGCUGGCGGCGUGCUUAACACAUGCAAGUCGAACGGAAAGACCCUGCUUUUGUGGGGUGCUCGAGUGGCGAACGGGUGAGUAACACGUGAGUAACCUGCCCUUGACUUUGGGAUAACUUCAGGAAACUGGGGCUAAUACCGGAUAGGAGCUCCUGCUGCAUGGUGGGGGUUGGAAAGUUUCGGCGGUUGGGGAUGGACUCGCGGCUUAUCAGCUUGUUGGUGGGGUAGUGGCUUACCAAGGCUUUGACGGGUAGCCGGCCUGAGAGGGUGACCGGCCACAUUGGGACUGAGAUACGGCCCAGACUCCUACGGGAGGCAGCAGUGGGGAAUAUUGCACAAUGGGCGGAAGCCUGAUGCAGCAACGCCGCGUGCGGGAUGACGGCCUUCGGGUAGUAAACCGCUUUCGCCUGUGACGAAGCGUGAGUGACGGUAAUGGGUAAAGAAGCACCGGCUAACUACGUG
rnacentral:rRNA from 1 species